UACGUAGGGCGCAAGCGUUGUCCGGAAUUAUUGGGCGUAAAGAGCUCGUAGGUGGCGUGUCGCGUCUGCCGUGAAAGCCCAUGGCUUAACUGUGGGUCUGCGGUGGAUACGGGCAGGCUAGAGGCUGGUAGGGGCAAGCGGAAUUCCUGGUGUAGCGGUGAAAUGCGCAGAUAUCAGGAGGAACACCGGUGGCGAAGGCGGGUCUCUGGGCCGUAACUGACGCUGAGGAGCGAAAGCGUGGGGAGCGAACAGG
rnacentral:rRNA from 1 species